rnacentral:rRNA from 1 species
AUUGAACGCUGGCGGCAGGCUUAACACAUGCAAGUCGAGCGGGCGAGGUUGCUUCGGUAACUGAGCUAGCGGCGGACGGGUGAGUAAUGCUUAGGAAUCUGCCUAUUAGUGGGGGGACAACAUUCCGAAAGGAAUGCUAAUACCGCAUACGCCCUACGGGGGAAAGCAGGGGAUCUUCGGACCUGGCGCUAAUAGAUGAGCCUAAGUCAGAUUAGCUAGUUGGUGGGGUAAAGGCCUACCAAGGCGACGAUCUGUAGCGGGUCUGAGAGGAGGAGCCGCCACACUGGGACUGGGACACGGCCCAGACUCCCACGGGAGGCAGCAGUGGGGAAUAUUGGACAAUGGGCGCAAGCCUGAUCCAGCCAUGCCGCGUGUGUGAAGAAGGCCUUUUGGUUGUAAAGCACUUUAAGCGAGGAGGAGGCUACUUGGAUUAAUACUCUAGGAUAGUGGACGUUACUCGCAGAAUAAGCACCGGCUAACUCUGUGCCAGCCGCCGCGGUAAAAC